rnacentral:rRNA from 1 species
GGGAUAAGCCUGGGAAACUGGGUCUAAUACCGGAUAUGACCUCCUAUCGCAUGGUGGGUGGUGGAAAGAUUUAUCGGUGCAGGAUGGGCCCGCGGCCUAUCAGCUUGUUGGUGGGGUAAUGGCCUACCAAGGCGACGACGGGUAGCCGACCUGAGAGGGUGACCGGCCACACUGGGACUGAGACACGGCCCAGACUCCUACGGGAGGCAGCAGUGGGGAAUAUUGCACAAUGGGCGAAAGCCUGAUGCAGCGACGCCGCGUGAGGGAUGACGGCCUUCGGGUUGUAAACCUCUUUCAGCAGGGACGAAGCGCAAGUGACGGUACCUGCAGAAGAAGCACCGGCUAACUACGUGCCAGCAGCCGCGGUAAUACGUAGGGUGCAAGCGUUGUCCGGAAUUACUGGGCGUAAAGAGUUCGUAGGCGGUUUGUCGCGUCGUUUGUGAAAACCAGCAGCUCAACUGCUGGCUUGCAGGCGAUACGGGCAGACUUGAGUACUGCAGGGGAGACUGGAAUUCCUGGUGUAGCGGUGAAAUGCGCAGAUAUCAGGAGGAACACCGGUGGCGAAGGCGGGUCUCUGGGCAGUAACUGACGCUGAGGAACGAAAGCGUGGGUAGCGAACAGGAUUAGAUACCCUGGUAGUCCACGCCGUAAACGGUGGGCGCUAGGUGUGGGUUCCUUCCACGGAAUCCGUGCCGUAGCUAACGCAUUAAGCGCCCCGCCUGGGGAGUACGGCCG